GAGGGGAGGUGGGCCGCAGGAAAACCUCACCCAGAGAACCCGAGGAUGCCCCAGCACGGGAAGCCUCCAACGGCAGGCUGGAUGGGGCUACGGGCAACCCGCUCGAGUGGAAGGCACCCCUGCCAACGGAAAGACGGUUGGAAGCAGAUGGCAUCUGAGGUCCCUUCCAACGCAAACCACCCUCUCAUUCCCUCAACUCCUCCAGUCUCCUCAUCCUCAAAAGGUGCUUAAAAACCACAUCAGGGGCGUCAUCCCCAUAACGUUUGAGGACUCCUCCUGGACGGCAACAAACCUUUGGCCUUCGCAACGCAAGAUCCUUGGCUUACAGCUAUCCGCCUCCUGGUACAUUUCCUCCUUCUCACCACAUGCCACAGGAAGCAAGGAAAAGAAAAGACGGUGGAGGAAGGAGACGCGUCGUCUGAGGAGCACCACAGCCACAGACCCCGCUCGGAAGGAUAUCUUCCCUUUCUCCUUCUUCCUCAAGCACAAGCCUUUCCAACGUAUUCUCAACAGCUUCCAACACAGGCGGCGCUGCCUACUCCCACCACAACCACAGCCAACCCAGAGCUCCUCACGCCACCGGAAACUACCCAAGGUUCUCCCAGCACGCAUCACUUUUCCAUGCUUUGUAAAAAACAAACAGAAACAAUGCACAGAAAGCAAACCACGGGCAACACACAUCUCACUCAAGUCGAAAGACCAAGACCCAUUACAGCACUAGGGCAUUACGUAAGAAAAGUAGAGUUGAACAGGAAGAGGGAUUUCACCAAAGGACACACCAGAGCUCUCGCCGCACGCCUCAGGGAAAGGAUGAAAAAAAAAAUAGCUGCACAACAGCUGACCCAGAAGAUUCCGCCCCACCACUUUCACAUCCCCCUCCCGGCCCUCGCAGCCAGCCACCCCAGAACACACCGCCGGACCAGGAUCUCCACCAACCGCCCCACACACAGACAAGGCACUUGCUCCCAGACCACAAAAACCAAUAGCCAAAAGUGAAAGCCACAGACAAAAUCUCUCGGCAACAGGAAAGCGAGGAAGGGAAAGAUGCCACACCACAUAAAGCCGGCACCGUGGCUGCACACAGACCACUGCCACCACCCGCACCACCACCGAGCCCCACCAGGCUCCUGCCCAGCACAACGCGAGUCCCACCAUGGCUGUGCCUGCAAGCCCACAGCACCCACGGGGGUACGGCAUCCUGCUGCUCACGCUCCUUCUGAAAGCUCUCGCCACCACCGCCUCCGCCUGCAACCACCUUCGCCCCAGGAUGCCACCUUCUCUCACGACAGCCUCCAGCUCCUCCGGGACAUGGCUCCCACACUACCCCAGCUGUGCCCACAGCACAACGCGUCUUGCUCCUUCAACGACACCAUCCUGGACACCAGCAACACCCGGCAAGCCGACAAAACCACCCACGACAUCCUUCAGCACCUCUUCAAAAUCCUCAGCAGCCCCAGCACUCCAGCCCACUGGAACGACAGCCAACGCCAAAGCCUCCUCAACCGGAUCCACCGCUACACCCAGCACCUCGAGCAAUGCUUGGACAGCAGCGACACGCGCUCCCGGACGCGAUGGCCUCGCAACCUUCACCUCACCAUCAAAAAACACUUCAGCUGCCUCCACACCUUCCUCCAAGACAACGAUUACAGCGCCUGCGCCUGGGAACACGUCCGCCUGCAAGCUCGUGCCUGGUUCCUGCACAUCCACAACCUCACAGGCAACACGCGCACUUAGCCCCAAACGCACCUCCCACCCUUGUCCUAUUUAUCUAUUUAUUC